rnacentral:tRNA from 1 species
GGAGAGGUGGCCGAGUGGUUAAUGGCAGCAGACUGUAAAUCUGCCCUCUUACGAGUACGCU